AUUGAACGCUGGCGGCAGGCCUAACACAUGCAAGUCGAGCGGAGCGGCGGACGGGUGGGUAAUGCCUAGGAAGCUGCCUGGUAGUGGGGGAUAACGUACGGAAACGGGCGCUAAUACAGCAUACUAGCAGAUGAGCCUAGGUCGGAUUAGCUAGUAGGUGGGGUAAAGGCCUACCAAGGCGACGAUCCGUAACUGGUCUGAGAGGAUGAUCAGUCACACUGGAACUGAGACACGGUCCAGACUCCUACGUGAUGCAGCAGUGGGGAAUAUUUGACAAUGGGCGAAAGCCUGAUCCCGCCAUGCCGCGUGUAUGAAGAAGGCCUUCGGGUUGUAAAGUUCUUUCAGCGGGGAGGCGUUACCCGCAGAAGAAGCACCGGCUAACUCCGUGCCAGCAGCCGCGGUAAUUC
rnacentral:rRNA from 1 species